AAUAUUUUUGAGCACAGAUGGCACUUGAAGGGGCGCUCGCCUGUGUGUGUGCGCAGGUGUUUCUUCAUGUUGGACUUGCGGCUGUAGUCGGUCUUGUAGGUGCACAGCCGGCAGCAACGCAGCCUGCCAUCCACUGACACGAGCGAUGGGUACUGCCCGAGGGACCCUUGUGGCAA
rnacentral:lncRNA from 1 species